CGCCUGGGCUCGGAGCGCGGGCAGCCCGGCCCCGCGGCCCCGCUGCAGUCCCGCUCCGGCAUGCCCCUCGCCGGACGAGCACCGGCCGGCUCCGGACCCCGCCGCUCCCAGCCCCGCUCCGCCGGGCUCAGCUGCGCCCCGGCAUGAAGCAGCCGGCGCCGGGCAGCCGCCGCUGAAGAGCCGAGCGGCAGCAGCGGGACGACCCCCCCGGCCACGAUAUCCCCACAGCCCCUCGAUGGGGCAGAGCCGCGGGCGCUGAGCCCCGCACCGCAGCCCGAGCCCCGCACCGCGCCCGCCGGCCCCCGCCUCGCCCCGCCAUGGGGCCGCGGCACCUGCUGCUGCCGCUGCUGCUCCUGCUGGCCCUGCAGCUGCUGGCCCUGCUGCUGGCCGCGCAGGCGGCCGGGCCCCCCCGCGCCAAGGGCAACCGGACCCAGGGGGCGGCGGCGGCUCCGCGGCGGACCCCGAAACCGGUCAAGGAGCUGCUGAACCAAACGCUGGCGGGGCCGGGGGCGAUCGCCCCCACGGCGCUGCCCGGGCGAGGGAAGGCAGCGGGAGGCGGCAGGAGCCCCCCCGGCGGCGGUGGGGGUGGCGGAGGCGGCUCGGCCCCGGCCCAUGAGACGUGCUGGGGGUACUACGACGUGAGCGGGCAGUGGGACAAGGAGUUCGAGUGCAACAACAGCCUGACAGGCUUCCGCUACUGCUGCGGCACCUGCUUCUACCGCUUCUGCUGCAACAAGCGCGCCGAGAAGCUCAACCAGAGCCUCUGCCGCAACUACAAGAGCCCCGAGUGGGCUCACCCCACCACGGCCAGCGGCUCCCUGCCCGCCGACGGCAGCAACGGAGCCGACGGGGACGCCAACAAGUACGACCCGGACAAGGACAGCACCAACGCCACCGUCUACAUCUCGUGCGGGGCCAUCGCCUUCGUGCUCAUUGCCGGCGUCUUCGCCAAGGUGGCCUACGACAAGGCGCGGCGCCCGCCCCGGGAGAUGAACAUACACAGGGCUCUGGCUGACAUCUUAAGGCAGCAGGGACCCAUCCCAAUAGCACACUGUGAAAGAGAGACUAUCUCGGCCAUAGAUACCUCCCCCAAAGAGAACACCCCAGUCAGGACAGCUUCCAAAAACCACUACACCCCAGUGCGCACCGCCAAGAGCAACCCGGGUCACUAUGGGAAGGAUAUUUACCGGAGUGGAGGACCAGAUCUGCAUAACUUCAUCUCCUCUGGCUUUGUCACAUUAGGAAGAGGACACACGAAGGAUGACCAAGAACAAAAUUAUAACCACCUGAUACUAGACAGUGCCACCCAGACACCUACACAUGACAAACCACGAAUGAACAACAUCCUCACGUCCGCCACCGAGCCCUACGACCUGUCCUUCUCCCGCUCCUUCCAGAACCUCUCUCACCUCCCACCCUCCUACGAGUCUGCCGUCAAGACAAACCCAAGUAAAUAUUCUUCCCUGAAGAGGCUAACUGACAAGGAGGCCGAUGAGUACUACAUGCGGCGGCGACACCUGCCCGACCUGGCGGCCCGCGGCACCCUCCCCAUCAACGUCAUCAAGAUGUCCCAGCAGGGCAACCCGCGGGAGCGGCCCCGCCGGCCCGUCCGGGCCAUGUCCCAGGACCGGGUGCUGUCCCCCGAGAGGAUGCUGCCCGAGGAGUUCAGCCUGUCCUACGAGCGGAUCCUGUCGGACGAGCAGCUGCUGUCGGCCGAGCGGCUGCACUCGCAGGACCCGCUGCUGUCGCCGGAGCGCUCCGCCUACCCCGAGCAGUCCAUGUCGCGGGCGCUGUCCCACACGGACGUCUUCGUCUCCACACCCGUCUUGGAUCGCUACAGGAUGGCAAAACUGCACUCCCAUCCCAGUGCCUCAAAUAACUUGUACAAUACCUUGGGGAUGACCCCCACCUCCGCCAAGCGCCAGGCCUUCGCCUCCCGGCGCCACAACACCGUGGAGCAACUGCAUUACAUCCCCGGGCACCACCACUACCGCACGGCCAGCAAAACGGAGGUGACGGUUUGAUGGCACCUCCGGCCGUCUAGGGACUCCUUAAGGACUGGGGGGGCGGCAGCACCCCCCUACUGCAGUGGCCUUAUAGGCCAAGAUAACCUCUGAUAGCUCAGUGUCUGGAAAGACUUCUCCGGCAGCCCCACCCGCGACGGUGCUCUUACAGCCACCCUCCACCGGGCGAGGCGAGGAGGACUCGAGCAGCAGGCAGACCGGAGUGCGGGGGAGUAGAGGACCUUUCCCUGACCUGCAUCACUUUCUGUCAAAGAAAGCCAUAGAUGGCUCCUUCCAAGGGCUCACCUGCAUCAUCUCACUCUUUUUAUGAACUUAGACCCUUCCAGUUGCUACAGCAGAAGCAGCCUCCUGCAGCCCAAGAUAGGGAGAAGGAGAGGCAGGUCCCAUCCUGCUGGGAGGGAGCCUUGUUCGGGCUCCUCAUGCCAGCCUUCACCGUUGGCCUUUCUGUAGCAAGUAGGGAAGCUUCUGGCUGCUGGAGCUCACUUCCAGACCGCCUGAUAUCAGCCAGCACCCAUGCAUCUCUCCUUCUUCAUCCUUGGAGCAAAUUCAGGGGCAGACUUUCCUUGGGGACUGGCAGAUCUGGGGGCAGGAAUAGCCUGGCUGAAGUUUUAGUUGAUACAAAAUCUGCUCAUAAGAUACAAAUAUACUAGUGCCUACGAAUCGCCUGCUCUCUCAGUGUAGGAAGUAGUGGGGUUAAUGUGAUCAAUAAGCACAACUAUGCUGAAAUGCUUGUGAGACCCUGUUCUCCACCCGUUCUGGCACCUUGGUGGGUGUCCCCAGCCUGUAAAUAGGAAGGAGGAACAGGGUUUCUCUCCCUCCAGCUUCUUGUCACUGCUGAACCUAAAGCAUCAGAAUUCGUUCAGCUCCUCACCACUGACCUGUGCUGGAGAAGGUCCUGGCUCUGCUGAGCCCCCAGCAAGGCAGGGCCAGCAACCUUUCACCAAGCCUGCAUUUCAUAGAGUCGUAGGACUGCUGGGGUCAGAAGAGACCUUUGACAUCAAGUCCAAGCCCUCACCUAGAGCUCACAAUCCCACCACUACUGCCAAGCCACCACAUCCCUCAGCACCACAUCCGCACCCCUCUGAAGUCCCUCCAGGGAUGGGGACUCCUCCACCUCCCUACGAGGUGAAUUCCUCCUCAGUCUGUUUUCCUGACAGCAUUUUCCCCUGGUCCAGCUGCCCUGUUUCUGAGUGUAUUUCCUACUCUUGCUUACACCCCUGAACUCCAUAUGUAGCAAACCUUCUUCUCCCAGCCCUCAGCAGAAGCACAGAGCUGAGGCUCUCUCCACCCACAAGCAGCCCACAGGUGGAAGCAGCCCUCCGUGGAGCAGCCAGGUCCUAGAGCUGCAUGUGGAGGGACUGCGGGAGGGGGGGGCAUAGAAAAAUGCAAAUAGUUUCCUGCAAAGUGAGAAUACUUUGCAGCCCCCCAGGCAGCAGCAGCAGCAGCAGCAGUGAGCUGCUCUGGAUUUCACACAGCUCUCCGAGGAGCACAUCUCCAUGGCUGUGUGUGCAUGUCCCCCUCAACACAUGGACACACACACAUGCUGGGAGAUGCCACCCUGAGCUCCUCACCCACCCUCCGCCAAUCAAAGCCUCCAAACGCUACUGAAUCCCUCUUUGAAAUGUGGACAACUGUUUUUAAAGCUCCACAGGGAUCACCACAUGGGACAGAGGUGUUGUCACAGAAGUCUUCUCACACCAGCAAAUGGUGUUUUAAGGGAAAAUAAGGUAUUUUUCGAGGUUUUAAUCUUCCUUUUCUAAAUGAUGAUCUGUUAACUCGGGAAUGGGUGGGAAGAAACCAGGACAGUUACCCAGGAGUGAGCCCUCCUUUCCUGGCCUAGCUUUACUUUCUGUCUGCUCUUAGAGAAUAGUAGAUUUGUUUGGGUUGGAAUAGACCUCUAAGACCAUUGAGUCCAACCAUCAACCUUAGGCCACGGCUGGCUGCAAAGCUGGUCCCAUCGACCUGCGCUUCCCGCAUGCCUCUUUCUGUUCUUCUCUCUAUCAGGAGCAUUCCCAACAGGAAUCUGCAAGAGCCUGGCAUCAAGCUUUUGGUAAAGGAUGGGUAGCUUCUGGGAGCUGGGGAGAUGUCUGCAUCUUCUUCCACCCCAACAAAGAAGAUCACCACGAAACAGGGUGACUUUGGUUGUGUUCGAAGUGAGUGUUGUCGUUUGUGAGCAGUCUGCUGUCCUGACGCGGUGCAUCUGCUCCUCUUAGUCCCGCUUCAGGCUCAGUGCUUAGGCUGCAAGGAUUCACUCUGCCGAGGUACACCGAGCGCUGCCAGCUGGCAAGCGCAGCUGUGUUCCAGAGGAGUGCAAGGCCAGUGGGGGGAAGAGGUGAGAAAGGGGGUCCAGUGUUGUCCGUGCUGGCUGCUCCGGGCGCAGCCCCUGCCGUGCCGCGCGUCUGCCAGCGGGCGCUUGAAGGGAUCCUUCCCAGCCUCUCUCAGCUGCUUCGUGCCUGUCGAGGAGGUGCCCACCCAAAACCCAGCUGGGCCAGACCCCACGCAUCACCCCGUGGCAGCUCGGGGGCGAGGGGCGAAUCGGAGCCUGCCGCCGGAGCAGCGCAGUGUCCGCCCGGCAGCUCUGCGCUCCCCGCAGCCAGCCCAGCCGCGCCCGUUCCGCGCACCGCCGCCGGGAGCUCUCCGCGCCCGCCGCCACCUCCAGCGCAGGGAGAGCUGCGUCCCCACCAGCCCACCCUCUGCUUCGGACCAGCUCCUGACCUCCUUCUUCCCUCAGCAGACCCCGUUUAGACCCUUUUUUGUAGCAAGAAUUUCUCGGCUCUGAGCGAGGACACUUCCUACCCUCCCGUUUUUAGUUUCGGGGGACGAUAUUUCCUAAGAGGGGUUGUUAAGUGGAUAUUUUUUGUGCUUUAGCCCAGUUUAUGGAUUCCAUGUUUAUUAUCCAGUAGUCCUGAAGAGGAAGUACGUUUGUAUGGGUACCUUUGCACAGACUCUCUGUUAACCAUUAAGCAGGCUUCAAGACGAGCAGUAUUUGACUGUUUCUCCUCUGUAUUAUCCUUGUUGUUAUACUUACCUGUAAAAGCACAUUCUGUAUGUACUGUAAAACAGAAAUAUUAUCAGUUUAGUAAAGAUUUAGAGUCUUAAGGAUUUUUUCCACUUUUGUCAGUAACAACUAUUUAUGGAUUAAAAAAAAAGGAGAAAAAAAAAAAGGAAGAAAAUAAAGGCAAUU